GUGUGUGUCAACAAAGGAUUUUGCAAGGCUGGCAGCGGUCAUUGUUGUUAUGGCUGUUGUGAUUGUUGUUGCCUGCUUUUGUUGUGGUGUCACAGCAGCCGACACUUUGCAUGUUCAAUGCGAGCUGCGAGAAGCUGGGCAACAGAAGCAGAAACAGCAACAGAAACAGCAACCGGAAACCGGAAAGGGCUUUACGGAUAUGUACGUGAGCUAAAUGUAACUGCUACGGAUAUCUGCUUCAGAGGCGCCAUCAAAACUGUAAAGCCAACUUUUCAACUAAUGAUGAUGACGACGAUGAUAAAGAUGAUGUUGAUGUUGAUGAUGAUGAUGAUGAUGAUGAUGAUGAUGUUGAUGUUGAUAAGUAAACAAUGCCCCACAAUCUAAAAUGUUGCUAACACCCUCGAAGCCGUCUCAGUUACUGCUUGAUUGUUGUUGUUGACUGAAGGCCCAAAUAAAUAAACCCCGUAUACAAUCUGCCCAGAGAUCUGGGCGCAUUAUGUGAGAGUGAGCCAUUAAAACAAUAACAAAGGCGUUAUCAAAAAUCAAUUAAAUAAUCAUUAGACAAGCGAAAUAACCUGGCAGCGAAUCAAUUUUAGUUAACAAUUUUAACAUUUGGUGUCACAUU